AAUUCCAUGAACUGUCAUUGUGUCCUUAUCAUCCAUUGUGCUCUGUGUACAUACCUAGAUUGCAGUGUUACUGUAAUUCCAAAAGUGUACAUUCAGAUUUGAUUUUAUUUUGUAUAUUUUUUUUAUUUAGGCUGCUGAUUUUGAGAUUUGGUCAGAAAUUUCAACUAGCAAGCAAGUCGCAGCAUUGAAGAACGCGAAGGGGGGGACAAUUCUGCCGGGGAGAUUUAAGGCACAACACCGGUAAACAGCGGUUGUAGUUCACUGCCGCCACCACCAGGCUGUUCCAUUCUUGACAUCAAAGAUGCAAUAUAUUGUUGGUAUGAGUUUUUGAUCAAUGUAAUUCAAAUGGAGAAAAUAGUGUGUGUAUACAUUUUUGCAUAAAGACCGUUUUAGAUGGAAUAUCAUCAUUCUACAUUGUUAGAUUUGUGGAAAUAUAUAGUGCAACCUGCCCUUUAGUGUGUGUGUCCAUCCACAGGCUGUGUGCAGGGUAAGGCUGUGGACUUGCUGUGUCCCCUGGGGUUGAGUCCUGGCCGGGGAAAGUUAGCAGUACUGUCUUGCUCUAACAUCUCCGUGUUCGACCAAGCUGUCAGACUCACCGACACCAACCCCCGCUGUAGGCUGCACAUCGUAGGGGGGGUGAAGAAUUUUGGGCUGAACAGAAUCAUGGGCAUUUGGGUUCUGAUGCAGCCAGAAAACAACCGCUCCUGAGUCAUCAAGGACAGAUUCAUCCGUAGGUUCACCCAGCAGAGUUAUGCUAAAAAAACAGAGGACCGUGAGUUGGAGGGCAAACUCUCCAUGGUGGAGAAAUACAACAGCCACAUCCCUGAGCUGGUGGAACGCCUCUACGGCUGCACAGAGAGAGAGGCCCAACACGCAGAUGUUAUCCUGGGGACAGUCCAUAAGUCAAAAGGUCUGGAGUUUGACAUGGUGGUGAUCACUGAUGAUUUUGCUAAGGUCCCCUGUCCCCAGACUUUCCAGCUGCUCAGGAGCUGUGUGUGUGUGCAAUCAUUAGGAAGUUGGGAAACCAUAUCCAAAUACCAACUAUGAUCUAAGGCCAAUGACUGUUUGCAUUGGUCCACGGCCUACGCCCAAUCAGAACAUUGGUUGAUGUAUUACAGUCCAGAUUAUAGUACCAAUGUUUGCUAGUGGCUGACUCCACUGUUUUCUCCCUCGUCCUCGGGGUGACAUCCCAGACGAUGAGUGGAACCUGCUGUAUGUGGCAGUGACACAGGCCAAGAGCUCUCUGGUCAUCACCAAGAACAUCCUCACACUGGCUGGGGUGAGAGCACUGAUCACUGGAGGCUGGUGAGUGGAGGACGGCUCAUAAUAAUGUCUGGAAUGGAGUGUAAUGGAAUGGUUUCAAACACCUGGAAACCAUGUUUGAUUCCAUUCAGGCCAUUUAUUAUGAGUCGUCCUCCCCUCAGCAGCCUCCACUGGCACGGAACCUCUCCACUACACUCCAUCCCUCUUCACUUGUCUCUCUCUCUCUAUUCUUCCACUCCACCCCCUCUACCCCUCCAUCACUCUAACACACUCCUUCGCUAUACUUAACUCCUAUUCCCAGUCUCUUUCUUUCUUUUAUGUGUGUUCUUUCUCAAACACCAUCUCAGAUCACAGAGAAAUGUACAAGUUGUUCAUUGAAGCAGGAAGUUGUGGUAAUGUAAUUCUGAGAAAGCCUCAUUCCUCUUUGGGUGACAUUUAUGUGACGCAAAUGAGCACGUCACUGUGCAAGUGAAUGUGUUCCAAUUUAAUUUGUGUUCUGUGAAAGCCUCCUCCUAUAGCCUGGUGGUCUAGUCUGUGUUGUUAGCCAACCCUCUGUGUGUAUGGCUUGACAGUGAUUGGAAAGUAGAAAACACUACAGCACGUACAGUAUGGGACCAAGGCUCAAAAAGCUUCUCAGAGCAGGAGUGCUGAUCUAGGGCCAGGUCCACCUGUCCAUAUCAUUCUUUUCCGUGUGAGCUAAAAUGCCAAACUGAUCCUAGAACAGCACUCUUUGUGAGUCCGGGACCAGGCUAACUCCUCCCAUGGUUAAGAAGAAUCCUUGUGUCAGCUAAAGACUUGAAGAAAUCUCUGGAACAUGCUAACAUCUCUGUUGAUGAGUACGAUACAUAAAACACUAAACAAGAAUGGGAGGACAUGGUAGCUACUUUACAGAAUCUCAAAUAUAAAAUAUAUUUUGAUUUGAUUAACACUAUGGAUUUGAUUAACACUAUUUUAUGAUUCCAUAUGUGUUAUUUCAUAGUUUUGAUGUCUUCACUAUUAUUCUACAAUGUAGAAAAUAGUAAAAAGAAAGAAACCCUGUAAUGAGUAGGUGUGAACAUUUUUGGCUGGUAAUGUAUAAACAAGGAAUAAACUUAUGUAUAAACAAGGAAAUGUAAGUUAAAACGUUUAAAAAUAAAUUGGUAACAAUGCAGAUGUCUUCUGUUUGGGAGUGACAGACAAUUUAGUGAUUAAUACGAGGUGCAAUGCUGUGUCUUAUAAUAACAUCUAAUUAAUUUAAUAACGUUUAAUUCACAAAGUAAGGCCUUGGUUGUGUUUUGAUAGAUAUCACCAUAAUCAUGGACAGAAAGCAACAGUUGGGUUUCUAUGGUCUUUGUAAUGGAUACAGUAAAACAAUUGUUAGAUCUGUAUAGUAACCCAAGUUAUACAGUUCAUUUGGAAAUGAUUCACUUCACUUAUUCCACAUUUUUUUGAUUUAGGUUACAGACUUAUUCUAAAAUGGAUAAAACAAAUCUUUUCCCCUCAUCAAUCUACACACAAAGGAAAAACAGGU